AGGAGUGUAGCUCAAUUGGUAGAGUAUCGGUCUCCAAAACCGAGGGUUGAGGGUUCGAGACCUUCCACUCCUGCCA
rnacentral:tRNA from 1 species